ensembl:snRNA U6 U6 spliceosomal RNA
GUGCUCCUUUAGCAGCACAUAUACUAAAAUUGGAAUGGCACAGAGAGUAGCAUGGCCCCUGCACAAGGAUAUCACUCAAAUUUGUGAAGCAUUCCAUAUUUUA